rnacentral:rRNA from 1 species
CCGCGCGCGGCGGGCGGGGCGGGGGCUCGGGGGGCCUACGGGCAGCAGUGGGGAAUUUUGGACAAUGGGCGAAAGCCUGAUCCAGCCAUUCCGCGUGAGUGAAGAAGGCCUUCGGGUUGUAAAGCUCUUUCGGACGGAACGAAAUGGUCAGGUCUAACACGUCUGACUGAUGACGGUACCGUAAGAAGAAGCACCGGCUAACUACGUGCCAGCAGCCGCGGUAAU